rnacentral:rRNA from 1 species
CAAUAGCGUAUAUUAAAGUUGUUGCAGUUAAAAAGCUCGUAGUUGGAUUUGUGGCGUACGGUGUGUUCCGGGCACUUGUUGUCUGAGUAACCUGCUGUUGCCAUCCUUGGGUGGAACCUGUGUGGCAUUAGGUUGUCGUGCAGGGGAUGCCCAUCAUUUACUGUGAAAAAAUUAGAGUGUUCAAAGCAGGCUUAUGCCGUUGAAUAUAUUAGCAUGGAAUAAUGAGAUAGGACUUUUUUGCUAUUUUGUUGGUUUGCGCAAAGAGGUAAUGAUUAAUAGGGACAGUUGGGGGUAUUCGUAUUCCACUGUCAGAGGUGAAAUUCUUGGAUUUUUGGAAGACGAACUACUGCGAAAGCAUUUACCAAGGAUGUUUUCAUUAA